rnacentral:tRNA from 1 species
GAUCUUUUAGUUUUAAAAAUAUUAGUUUGUGGUACUAAAGAUUUAUAGGGUCU